rnacentral:rRNA from 1 species
UGGGGAAUUUUGGACAAUGGGAGCAAGCCUGAUCCAGCCAUGCCGCGUGCGGGAAGAGGGCCUUCGGGUUGUAAACUGCUUUUGUACGGAACGAAAAGACUCUCUCUAAUACAGGGGGUUGAUGACGGUACCGUAAGAAUAAGCACCGGCUAACUACGUGCCAGCAGCCGCGGUAAUACGUAGGGUGCAAGCGUUAAUCGGAAUUACUGGGCGUAAAGCGUGCGCAGGCGGUUUUGUAAGACAGAGGUGAAAUCCCCGGGCUCAACCUGGGAACUGCAUUUGUGACUGCAUAGCUGAAGGGCGGCAGAGGGGGAUGGAAUUCCGCGUGUAGCAGUGAAAUGCGUAGAUAUGCGGAGGAACACCGAUGGCGAGGGCAAUCCCUUGGACCUGGACUGACGCUCAUGCACGAAAGCGUGGGGAGCAAACU